GUUUUUAAUAAUUGAUAUGAAUACUUUACAGCAGAGGAAAUGGACAGCAGGCCAUCAUUUACACACCACAUCAAUAAUGAAUGGAGUGGUGCCAAAACACAUCAAUAACAAGCUUGUUUGUUCUCUUAUGUUUGCAGUGCUCCAGCCCUAAGGAGGUAGAGCAGGGGAUCAGGCUAAGGAACCAGCAGACGGAGAAAGACCUGCUGGGGAAACACAGGGGGAUAGUGUAUUGCAAUGCUGCCCUUAGGAAGCGUCAGAGUUGGACAAAGCUCCAUAUAGUGCUGUGUAUAAGGAGCUGGAAGUGGCAUCUUGAAGAGAAGAGCACCCUGAAGAUCAGCUACUCCUGGCAUUCUGCUGUGUUCCCUGCUACUUGCAGCUUCUAACAACCGUGAGCAACUCUCCCAAGAUUCCAACGCUCAAAGAGGAGAGUUGUUACCCUGCUAUCCAGGCUGCACAGAAUGGCCAUUUUCAGGUGUAAUUCAGGGAUAGAAUAUGCUGGAGGUGAGCUACCUGGGUGUGAGUUUCCAGCUGCGUUGCACCAAACUUUCACCAAACCUCCAGCUCGGGACGUUAAGCAUUGGCGAGUUUGUGGCUCUCUCAUCUACCACCAUCAAUCCUUGCAUUCCACUGGAUUUGAUGUUACUGAAAUAAAGAGUAUAAUUUGAGAACCAGUACAUUUUAAGAAGCAUAAAUAAGAAAAGGAGAGCAAAUUUUACACUGUGACCUUUACUAUGAACUUCACUUGCUGGCUUUUUCUGCACUCCCCCAAGUGGGCAAC